GCAUUGGUUGUUCAAUGGUAGAAUUCUCGCCUCUCACCCGGGAGACCCGGGUUCGAUUCCCGGCCAAUGCA
rnacentral:tRNA from 1 species